GUCUGCACUGUCGAAGCAGCUGACAAUCUCUUGUAUGGUUUUCAGGAGUGAAUAAAACCGACGAGGGUACGUGGACUGUAACGAUUAGGGGUUGUUCCAGCAUGAGUCCAGAGCAAUAUCGGGGCUCUGUAAUCACAAUUGUUCUAAAGAAUGCCAGCUCUUUGUUAUGGCGCAAACAUCAUGGAAAUCAAUAUCGUCGAUAUCGGGUGUGGUGAUAUCUUGUCAGAUGCAGGGAGCUUAACUAGUCAGCUUGUGGCCUCCAUAUCAUCAGAGAUUUCUCAUGUACAUACACACGUCCUUAGCAAGCUCAUCUUCAUCACCAAUUG
rnacentral:snoRNA from 1 species